rnacentral:tRNA from 1 species
UCCCUGGUGGCUAAGAGGUUAAAGUGUCUCCCUGAUAUGUGGGAGAUUCAGGUUCGAUCCCUGGAUUGGGAA